UUUUUGUAAUAUCUAAAAGUU
rnacentral:snRNA from 1 species